UAUCUUAAUGGUUUGGCAAAAGAGAGUGAUAGAAUAAGUAUUAGACUUAAAAAUAAGCCCAGGGGUCGAUUUGUUCAACAAAAGCCCUUCAAGAUGGUGCUCCAGCAUGGCUGCAGUCAAAUGACUGAAACAAGUAAAAGAAUUAAUCUCAGUACUUAUUUCAUCAGUUGCUUUUACCAAACCACUAGGUUACAGGGAUGUAAACAAACCAACAUCAUUUCUCAAGGACUGGCUGCAAGCCAAACACAAAGACACACACACAUACAUGUGUGUUGUAUGUACUUGUAUGUGUGUUUACACAAUGAACUUCCACACAGUUCUCAUCUACUAAAUUCACACACAAAGCAUUGGGAGGUCCAGAGCUAUAGUAGAGGACACAGAGGAACUGAACCUGUAACCACGUGGUUGCAAACCAAGCUUCUUAACCACACAGCUAUGCCUGUGCCUAUUGCCAUUCCUGCAGGUUUCUUUCAGUUUUCAUCUAAUUUUAUUUACAUUAAAAUUUCAACUGUUAAUAUUAUUAUUAUUGCUUUUUUUAUUACCUCUUCUUUUUUUUUAUUUCCAGAAGGAAAAUUUUUAUUUAGGUCACUGUCACUGUUCAAUGUACCUUGACGUCUGUUUAUAUUUGGCAUAUAAAAUUAUAGCCACUGACAUCAGAAUGAAAUUAUGUUGCUCAGAAAAGAACUACAUUUGUGAAUAGAUUUUUCUGCAUGUGUUAUGAAUUAGAAUUUAAAAAUUGGUUCAGAGAAAAUAAUAUCAAGAUGUGGACAUCAGCAAAAGACAUCAUAAUCAUCAUCAUCAUCACCAGCAGCAGCCCUUAACAUCCAUUUUCUAUGCUGGCAUGGGUUGGAUGGUUUGACCAGAGCUGUACCAAGUAUAGACCAAACUCAAUGUCGUUAUCUCAUGCUUACUAGAAACACUUCUAUCAAGCCUUUUCCUACAUACACUAAGCACAACCAAUGUAUGUCUUCAUGCAUUCAUUCAUUUACUGCUAACACACCAGAGACAUCUCUGUUAAACACAACUUAUCUCUAUACAGCAAGCUGUCUUGUUUGGAGGCAUAAUCUAUGGACAUAUUAAAGAGAACAACAAAAGUUAUAACCACUACUAACUUGGUCACCUAGAUAGCGGGACCUGUUCAUUGUAGGUUUCUUAAUAAACAGAAAUACCUAAUAAAAUCAACAUGUAUCAUUUUA